AAACGGAUCCGUAACCUUGGGAUAAGGAUUGGCUCUGAGGACUGAGCCGGUCGGGCUGGGGACCUGAAGCAGGAACGGCACUGCACCGGGACUGGGCGGGGCUCGCCGUUCACGCGGCGCGGCCAAGCCCGGACCAGCGUCGGGACCUUCCUGUGGAAAGCCUCAGCUGCGCGGCGUCUGAGGGCUUCGUGCCCAAAGUGCUAUGCUUCGGCCGGCAAAAAACAGUCAACUCAGAACUGGCACGGACCGGGGGAAUCCGACUGUCUAAUUAAAACAAAGCAUUGCGAUGGCCGCUGGUCGGUGUUGACGCAAUGUGAUUUCUGCCCAGUGCUCUGAAUGUCAACGUGAAGAGAUUCAUCAAAGCGCGGGUAAACGGCGGGAGUAACUAUGACUCUCUUGUUUCCUAUGGCAUGCACGCCUUGGAUUUCGGGGUGAGAGCAGAUGGUUACUUGCUUGCGCAAAGCCGAACUCCCACCUGCACGUGGUGCCCGCCGCAGGACUAGUGAGCCUAAAGGGGGUGCAUCCCUGGCGAACUCGUUCUCAACGGGAGCUCUCGCACCCUUCUGGGGGGGACGACCCUGCCCCCUCCGCCGGCUUGGCGAUUUGUAUCACUACUUUCUGUAGACCCUGACCGAGUGGUCGGGGUUCCAAGUCUGGAGUCCUGGCCGUCUGCCCGUAUGACGCCAUAACUGCCCCAGACUGGAUGGCCGCCUGGCUGAGGCCUAUGCAAGUCCAGUACUAGGACAAUCGGUGAGGGCCUUUGCCCCCCUGCUUGCGCCCUGUGCAGCGUUGGCAGGCUUCGUUUUUCGCCCCUGCUUUCUGGAGCACGGG
rnacentral:ncRNA from 1 species